CCUACGGGAGGCUGCAGUGGGGAAUAUUGGACAAUGGGCGAAAGCCUGAUCCAGCCAUGCCGCGUGUGUGAAGAAGGCCUUCGGGUUGUAAAGCACUUUCAGUGGGGAAGAAAGCCUUGGGGCUAAUACCCUCGAGGAAGGACAUCACCCACAGAAGAAGCACCGGCUAACUCCGUGCCAGCAGCCGCGGUAAUACGGAGGGUGCGAGCGUUAAUCGGAAUUACUGGGCGUAAAGCGCGCGUAGGCGGUCUGAUAAGCCGGUUGUGAAAGCCCCGGGCUCAACCUGGGAACGGCAUCCGGAACUGUCAGGCUAGAGUGCAGGAGAGGAAGGUAGAAUUCCCGGUGUAGCGGUGAAAUGCGUAGAGAUCGGGAGGAAUACCAGUGGCGAAGGCGGCCUUCUGGACUGACACUGACGCUGAGGUGCGAAAGCGUGGGUAGCAAACAGGAUUAGAUACCCGGUAGUC
rnacentral:rRNA from 1 species